rnacentral:rRNA from 1 species
AACGAACGCUGGCGGCAUGCCUAACACAUGCAAGUCGAACGAGACCUUCGGGUCUAGUGGCGCACGGGUGCGUAACGCGUGGGAACCUGCCUUUAGGUUCGGAAUAACUCAGAGAAAUUUGAGCUAAUACCGGAUGAUGUCUUCGGACCAAAGGUUUAUCGCCUUUAGAUGGGCCCGCGUUGGAUUAGCUAGUUGGUGGGGUAAAGGCCUACCAAGGCGACGAUCCAUAGCUGGUCUGAGAGGAUGAUCAGCCACACUGGGACUGAGACACGGCCCAGACUCCUACGGGAGGCAGCAGUGGGGAAUAUUGGACAAUGGGCGAAAGCCUGAUCCAGCAAUGCCGCGUGAGUGAUGAAGGCCUUAGGGUUGUAAAGCUCUUUUACCCGAGAUGAUAAUGACAGUAUCGGGAGAAUAAGCUCCGGCUAACUCCGUG